rnacentral:misc_RNA from 1 species
GAUGAAGAACGUAGCGAAAUGCGAUAAGUAAUGUGAAUUGCAGAAUUCAGUGAAUCAUCGAAUCUUUGAACGCACAUUGCGCCCGUCAGUAUUCUGGCGGGCAUGCCUGUUCGAGCGUCAUUACGCCCCUCAAGUCCCCUGUGGACUUGGUGUUGGGGAUCGGCGAGGCUGGUUUUCCAGCACAGCCGUCCCUUAAAUUAAUUGGCGGUCUCGCCGUGGCCCUCCUCUGCGCAGUAGUAAAACAUUCGCAACAGGAGCCCGGCGCGGUCCACUGCCGUAAAACCCCCCAACUUUUUAUAGUUGACCUCGAAUCAGGUAGGACUACCCGCUGAACUUAAGCAUAUCAAUAAGCGGAGGA